CAAGCAUAAUAAGAAUUGUGUUAACAAUGCCAGAUCUGUUGGUCAUCUUCUGGGAAUGUAUUAAUUACGGAAAAACGCGUCUUUGUCGUGAGACAAAGCCAGUCGUGUUUGUUUUAGAGCGGUCAAUGCCGGGGACCGGGUGGUGGCUCAUCCAUAUAAAAACCCUGCGAUGCCCACGUGCCUUUGUCAGUUGUAUGGCACUCUCACCACUGGAAUACAAUGAUCGCCAAAAUCUUUGUUUCAUUAUGUCUUUGUGCCUUGGUCUUCGCUUCGCCAGAGCCUGAGAAAGACCUCAAAACCGAGAAUACUUUCGGUUUCGGAUAUUCUUUAGGGUUCGGCAAACACUUCUAUGCCAGUUACUAUCCUUCCUACUACGGUUACGGUGGAUAUCCGUACGGAAGCUACGGAUUCGGAUAUUACGGCUACCCUUACUACAAUUACUACCCUUAUUCUUACUAUGGCUUCUAUUGAUCACUAUUUGCAAGGGAGAUAAAUUGUAAAUUGAUGUAUAAAUAAUAAAUUUUUAAUACUUA